GAAGCCCUUCGGGGUGAGGUGAAAUUCCUCGAUCGGUGGUAUAGCCCACGACCCAUACGGGACGAACUGGUGAGAUUCCAGUGCCGACGGUUCACCGUGAACGGGUUCACCGUGAACGGUUCAAAGUCCGGAUGGAAGAAGGGUAAA
rnacentral:ncRNA from 2 species